UACGUAGGGUGCGAGCGUUGUCCGGACUUAUUGGGCGUAAAGAGCUCGUAGGCGGUUUGUCGCGUCGACUGUGAAAACCCGAGGCUUAACCUCGGGCCUGCAGUCGAUACGGGCAGACUAGAGUUCGGUAGGGGAGACUGGAAUUCCUGGUGUAGCGGUGAAAUGCGCAGAUAUCAGGAGGAACACCGGUGGCGAAGGCGGGUCUCUGGGCCGAUACUGACGCUGAGGAGCGAAAGCGUGGGGAGCGAACAGG
rnacentral:rRNA from 1 species